UACGGAGGGUGCAAACGUUGCUCGGAAUCAUUGGGCGUAAAGCGCACGCAGGCGGCGUGGUAAGUCAGUUGUGAAACUCCCGGGCUUAACUUGGGAACUGCAGCUGAUACUGGAUGGCUUGAGUUCGGGAGAGGGAUGCGGAAUUCCAGGUGUAGCGGUGAAAUGCGUAGAUAUCUGGAGGAACACCGGUGGCGAAGGCGGCAUCCUGGACCGACACUGACGCUGAGGAGCGAAAGCCAGGGGAGCAAACGGG
rnacentral:rRNA from 1 species